rnacentral:rRNA from 1 species
UACGAACUGUGCAAACGUUAUUCGGAAUCACUGGGCUUAAAGGGUGCGUAGGCGGCUAUCUAAGCAGGGUGUGAAAGCCCCCGGCUCAACCGGGGAAUUGCGUUCUGAACUGGAUGGCUGGAGUGAGAUAGGGGUGUGUGGAACUUCCAGUGGAGCGGUGAAAUGUGUUGAUAUUGGAAGGAACGCCGGUGGCGAAAGCGACACACUGGGUCUCAACUGACGCUGAGGCACGAAAGCCAGGGAGCGAACGGG